rnacentral:rRNA from 1 species
CAGUAGCCACGGUAAUACGAAGGGGGCUAGCGUUGUUCGGAUUUACUGGGCGUAAAGCGCGCGUAGGCGGACAUUUAAGUCAGGGGUGAAAUCCCGGGGCUCAACCCCGGAACUGCCUCUGAUACUGGGUGUCUAGAGUUCGGAAGAGGUAAGUGGAAUUGCGAGUGUAGAGGUGAAAUUCGUAGAUAUUCGCAGGAACACCAGUGGCGAAGGCGACUUACUGGUCCGAUACUGACGCUGAGGCGCGAAAGCUAGGGGAGCAAACAGGAUUAGAUACCCCAGUAGUCCCUGUCUCUUAUAC